rnacentral:tRNA from 1 species
GGGGAUUUAGCUCAGUGGUUCCGCUGCCUGCCUUGCAAGCACAAGGACAAGAGUUCAAUCUCUUGUUCCCCA